UUUGAUUCCCAGUACCAGAAAAAAACCAAAACAAACAAACAAAAAAAACAACAACAACAAAAGAAAACACAAAAAUGGGUGUUAUACACAGUACCAGGUAAAGGCAAGUAAAAAGAGUGAGAACAAAAAUAAUGAAAAUACUAUAAUUUAAGCAAUUACUACUCAGAUCUGGCAUUUAAGUUUAUCCUACUGAUAGGUAAUAAAUUAGUCUAAUUCUGUUUCAUGGAUGCUGUAGAAGACAUAAGUUUCCUGGUUCAGAGACACAGGACUAUUAUUCACAACACAGGAAGUAACAUGAGUAUCUGCAUAUUUGUGUCAGUUCCUCUUACCUACCAGGUACCAUGUGAAUAAAGAUCGCAGGUAAGUGUUAUUUAGUGGAUUUACAUCACAGCUAAGGAACACUGAGCAUGGGGAAGCUGCCAUUUUAUAGAAGCAGUAAGAAAACCUGUUCUGUGUCCUGAAGGGAGAUAUUAUUUCAUCUUUCAAGGUUGCUUACUACAAACACAACCCACAAGCCUGAGUAAAGACCCUAGUAAAUAGCAGUAAAACCAUCCAUUCUUGGCCAAAAAUUACUAUUGGCCAAACUCUCCUCCGAGCACUUUACAUCUAUUAUCUCAUUAAAUCCUUACCACCCUAUAAUGUUCUCUAUUUUAUAGAUGAAUAAAGAGGCAUAGAGAAGUUACAGAACCAAUAAAUAAUGAAUCCAGGAGAAGCAUAGGUCUGAUGACCUGUAAAAUCAAUAGGAAACCCCCUGAAAGAGUUUAUUGACUAUGAAUGGAAAUGACCUAACAGUCACUGGUUAAAUUACGAUACAUCCACAAUGGAAACCUGAGUCCCUGCAAACAAAAAAUAAGGCAGCUCUUCGUGCACCGGAACAGAAUGAGCUCACGGAGGUGGUGCAUGGUUAAGUGAAAGAAGGUACAGCACGGACUAUGGACCACAGCAGCAUUUGUGUGUAAGAGGAACCGUGUGUGCUUAUAUCUUUAGAAGCAUUCACACACUGAGAGCUACUGAGAAGGGAGAUUGGACAGCUGGGCUGGUGACAGGGACCAGGAAUAGAACUCAGGACCCCGCACAUGCCAGUUUCAGAGGCACAUACCCCUCCAGGUGGCCUCCAGUGAGUCAUGCUCUUGCACAAUCCCCUCCCCUGAGGGCGAGUGGAAACUGAAGCAUGCUUCUGGGCAAUAAAAUAUGGCAAAGGUGAUGAUGCGUCACCCCCACGGCUCUGUCACACCACAUAACCCUGCACUGCUUCCUAGUCGAUCAGACAAGAGGGUCUUCUGUUGGCCCAGCUGCCUAUGGAGACACCAGGAGGCAGAGAGCUCCGGGGUGCCCCAGACAGCGGCCCCCAGGGACAACAAGGAAACUUGCCCUCAGCCCGGUACCCUUACGAAAUCCUGCUGACAACAGCGUGAUCUCAGAAGAUCCUGAGCUCCACAGAGGAGCACUCCACCAUGGGCAUGGUGGCACAUGUCUGUUAGCCCAGCUCUCCAGAGACUGAGGCAGGAGAAUCACAAAUUUGAGGCCAGCCUGGGCAACUUAUUAAGACAGUUUUAAAAAUAAAAAUAAAAAAAGAAAUGGAGGAAAGAAGAAGACAGCCCAGCCAGUACCUUGACUCCUGAAAUCAACCAAAACUGGAUUCUGUGGCUCAGAAGCUCAAAUGGGACACAGUGGGGACGGCUUGUCUGUGCAUCAUGAUGCCCUCGGGAAGAUACAAAGGCUAAGGGCAACUACAUGGCUGGGGUGUGGCAGCAUCUGGAAAUCUUGGUUUCUCCAGCUCUAGAAAUGAUGGUGUCCACUUCAUCACCCAGGUGAAAUAAGACUUCACAGGUCACUGUCAUCAAAACAGUUUAAUGAAACACUGAGACACAUUCUACAAUACAGAUGAACCUUAAAGAUAUAAUGCUAAAUGAACAAGCCAGCCACAGAAAGACAGAUGUUCCAUGUGGCUCACAAAGCAGCUGUUGUGGUUCGUAUCUAGAUGUCCUCCAAGAGCCGCAGGGGCUCAUCGGCUUCUGGAAAGUGAUUAAACCAUGAGACACCUGAGCAGACUGCUGCUGGGAGGUGGUGUCUGGUCAGAAGAGGUGGGUCACUGGGAGUGUGACCAGGAAGGGCACAGCCCCUGGCUCUUUUCUCCUUUCUUGGCUUCCUGGCCCCCAUGAUGUGAGCUGCUUUCCUUCACCAGAGUCUUACAGCCUGUCUGCCUGCCUUGCCCCAGCGGACUAAAACUGUGAGCUGAAAUAAACCUCAAGGAUGAAAGGUCCCAGAGAUGGAUGGUGAUGGUGGUGGUUAUACAGCAGUGUAAAUGUAUUGAUGCCACUGAACCAUACACUUUAAAAUGCUCCUGAUGCCAGGCACCUGCCCCAGGGCUCCUUUAGGAGUGAUGGUCUUUUCUUCAAUGAUCCUGGUCAACUACUUGGCAAAACAUCUCGCUGGUGACAGGAAAGGGAAUCACUUUAUCCUCUCAGCAUCGAUGAAAGACCCACAACCUGCCAGACAUGGGCCAGAGUCGGGAACAGGGAGGUGCGCCGGGUGUUCUGCAUGAUUAUAGGCUACUGACACAAACUGUCGUCUCAAAGGAUCCAAGUCCCGUGUGUUUGAAAAAGCCACUGGAAGGCUCAUCUGAAUCUUCAAGCAGUUGUGAUACUCUGAAAUGUGAUUGGGACUGGAUUAUGAGGAACCUGGUAUUUGAAGGAACAGCGAAGCAGGCCUCAGAGAAGUGAAGGCCCACCCACCUCAAGGUGGCAGGAUAAGCCACACUAGCACCCAGCACUCCAGACCACCCCUGCCGAUCUUCCUUUCUUUCCUUUUUCCCCUUCAGAUGCCCAGAACAGUGUUCUUCAUUCAGCGGACACAGCGUAUUUCUAGUUAUUUCAUCCUCUCCAGAAAAAAAUAAAAAUAAAAAUUA